rnacentral:pre_miRNA from 1 species
AUUUCUCUGCGGGUGGGGAUUUGUUGCAUUACUUGAUCAUGUGACUAUAAGAGUAUUGCACUUGUCCCGGCCUGUGGAGGAAAA